UACAACAUAGGGAAGCCAAUCACACUACGUUGUUUUUGAUCUAAAAAAGUUUGUAUCAUUUGUAAAUCUCUUCCACCGUCACAACUCACAAAGCUCUUUAGUUCUUCACCUCUUCUGUUCUUCUCUCAACAUCGCCCUGCUCUACAACCUAGUAGCAACCUUUGGGGUUUCUUCCGUUUCCAGCCAAGCCAACCUCCUAAUCUCGGUAGAGCCAAGCAAAAGUUCAUUUGUACUUUUCUUGUUUGCCAUUUUUCAUGAUCCUCACCCUAGUUUUUUCUAGGGUUUCGAAAUUGCAAAAGGGGGUAAACUACAAAUCUGGAAAAGGCUUGUCGUCUGAGUCUGAAUCGCUGUGGGAAAUCAUACAGGUUGUUUGAGCUUUCUAUUUUUUUGGUUCAAAGGACUCAUCUGCUUCUUCAUCUUCUGGGAUUUUUGGCUCUAUCUUUGCACCUUCGUCCCAGAUUUUAAUGGGGGAGUAGGCUUCGUUUGGGAUACAAUUUUUAGUGGUAAAGUGUUAGAUGUGCAAAGAGAAAUGGUCUCUCUUCUGUGUCGAGCGAUGCCUUGAACCCCCUUCGGGGUUACGUUUCUCUUCCGCAGGUCACCUUUAGCCCAAAGAGAUGGAUGUUGCCCAAUUCAGAAAACUCAGUUUUAGCCUCGACUGCGAAUGAUAUGCGCUGUGAUAAGUACACCCCCAUUGAUUCUGGAAAGUUGAAGUCCGCAGCUAUAGGGCUAUCUCAAAGUCAUAUCCACUAGCUGUUCACCCAAGAUUGAGUUUGAUCAGAAUUUUAGGAUGAAAUGAAACAGAAGUUUUCACAAGUUUUUCACAAUUCUGAUGGUACCAGUCCUGUCAUAAAUGAUGUUGAGAUAGUGAAAAACCAAUUAGGUAUCAGAAAGGGAUAUCGUCGUGGGUUCGGAAAUGGUUUUGUAGCUCCAAGCCAUCAACGUGUAUCCUUAUCUUUUGAAGAGGCUUCUAGAAAAAGGGUAAUAAAUGUUGAAGAAGAUAAUGCACAACUAAGGGAGAAAGUUACAAAUUUGGAGGAUAAGUUGGAUACAUUUCAGCACCUCCUUGAGUAGCAACAGCAACUCCUUUAGCAGCAACAACAGAACCAACAAUUGCCACCACGAUUCCACCAAUAGCAGCAUGCCCCACCAAGCUGGUAUCAGCAGCCGCCAACAUGGUGGCAAUUUCGGCACCACGCACCAGCAGCACCACAACAGUCACCUGAAUGAACUAUAAAGAUAAUUAUUUUGGUAGAUAUAUUUUGGAGCUUUUUGAUGGCUAGCUAGCUGAUUUCUAACUAUUUUGGUAGUGUAUUUUUUCCCUGCAUUUUCAUGAUUGCAUUCAGUUUAAAAUGAUGUUUUAAUUUUUAAGGAUGUUUGGAACCAUUUGAUGUUAAAGCAGUUACUAGAUACUUUUAGCUCUUCUUUACAAAACUGGAGAAUUUGUAGUUUCAUCAUGAGAUUAAGAGCUUGUUUGUUGGUAUCA